UCUCCGUUGGUGAACCAGCGGAGGGAUCAUUAUCGAGUUUAUAACUCCCAAACCCUAUGUGAACUUACCACUUGUUGCUUCGGCGCGCGCUUCGGCGCCGCCGAGGACACUUAAACUCUUUGUUUUUAUAAGCGUUUCUGAGUGGCCGAAAGGCAAAAUACAAAUGAAUCAAAACUUUCAACAACGGAUCUCUUGGUUCUG
rnacentral:misc_RNA from 1 species